rnacentral:lncRNA from 1 species
GAAGCUUCUCACAUCUUUAUUGGAAAGGCACAGCUAAGCCCACCCUUGAUACAGCAUUUUCCACUUCUCUCUGUAGAGAUCAGACGAUUGAACACGAGAUAAGCUGACUAUAUACAGACACAGGUGUGGGUGUUGCUUUUUUUUAAAAACACUUUUGUCUUUUUUUUUUUUUAAUAUCCCCUUUCUUAAAAGACAAGCUAGUAUACUGGAAAAAGAAAAAAAUAAUAAUAAAAUAAAAACCAAGACAACUUUAGUACCCUCAUCUUUAUUUGGGAAGGGGAGGGGGAAUCCUGGGUCGCCCACCCUCACCCUGCUCCUCCCAGCUCAGCUAAGCUCGUCCCUCGUGCCCCCCCUUUUGUGGGCGAUGGGAGAGGACCAGGUGGGCGUGGAGGUGUCUGGAACUAGCAGAGGUGGGUGAGAGGGCUGUGGCCCAGGCAGACUGUCGGUUACACAUGUUCAAAACGGGGGAAGGGCCGGGGCUGCUGCGCUUCGCGAGGUCUUGCUCCCUUGGGACCUGGUCUCCCAUCUGACCCUCCAGGCCUUAGCUUGCCUCACAUGUCAGGGCAGGUAUCCACCUAACCAGGCUGCAGGGGAGGAGGAGGGAAGCCGGGAAUGGGGUAGGAAGAAAGCUAGAGGUGGCCUGCAAGCUGGGCUGGGGCCCCCGCCGGCGGCCACCAUAAAUACUAUGGGAGUUUAGCCAAUCCCGAGCUCCGCUGUGUCUUGUGCUAAACAUUCCUUUCUCUCCGUGCCUCUGUCUCCCCUCUGUCCCCCCUCCCAACCUCCCUGUCCCGGCCCCCUGCUAAUCCGACUUCUCGCCAUCAUCCUCCUGGUGGGUGUCACCAUCGUGCCCGUUCUUGUCUUCCUUGGAGAGGUGGGCCUGGGAACCCAGCGCGGACAGCGAGAGGAG